AUUGAACGCUGGCGGCAGGCCUAACACAUGCAAGUCGAGCGGUAACAGGUCCUUCGGGAUGCUGACGAGCGGCGGACGGGUGAGUAAUGCAUAGGGAUCUGCCCGAUAGUGGGGGAUAACCUGGGGAAACCCAGGCUAAUACCGCAUACGUCCUACGGGAGAAAGGGGGCUCCGGCUCCCGCUAUUGGAUGAGCCUAUGUCGGAUUAGCUAGUUGGUGAGGUAAUGGCUCACCAAGGCAACGAUCCGUAGCUGGUCUGAGAGGAUGAUCAGCCACAUCGGGACUGAGACACGGCCCGAACUCCUACGGGAGGCAGCAGUGGGGAAUAUUGGACAAUGGGGGGAACCCUGAUCCAGCCAUGCCGCGUGUGUGAAGAAGGCCCUCGGGUUGUAAAGCACUUUCAGCGAGGAAGAACGCCUAGGGGUUAAUACCCCCUAGGAAAGACAUCACUCGCAGAAGAAGCGCCGGCUAACUCCGUGCCAGCAGCCGCGGUAAUACGGAGGGUGCAAGCGUUAAUCGGAAUUACUGGGCGUAAAGCGCGCGUAGGUGGCUUGAUAAGCCGGUUGUGAAAGCCCCGGGCUCAACCUGGGAACGGCAUCCGGAACUGUCAAGCUAGAGUGCAGGAGAGGAAGGUAGAAUUCCCGGUGUAGCGGUGAAAUGCGUAGAGAUCGGGAGGAAUACCAGUGGCGAAGGCGGCCUUCUGGACUGACACUGACACUGAGGUGCGAAAGCGUGGGUAGCAAACA
rnacentral:rRNA from 1 species